CCUCCUCCGUCCCUUUGGAUCCGUGGCCUCGGGGAGGACGGGCGCCCGUGUUUCGGCCGGGGAAGGGCGCCGCCGGGGCCGCUUCGGUUCCCCGCGCGUUCUCGGCUCCUGCCUGCGGAGGCUUCUUGGCCGAGGAGAAGGAAGAGGAGGAUUUACCGGCUUCCCGGCUGCGGCCGCACCGUCUGGCGUGGCUUUCCCCCUUCCGGCGUGUCGAAGCGAGUAGUCCGGUCCCCCCAGCAGGGCAGGCGGGCGGGCCAUGGAGGAGAAGUACCUGCCCGAGCUGAUGGCGGAGAAGGACUCCCUGGAUCCGUCCUUCACCCACGCGCUGCGCCUGGUCAACCAAGAAAUCGAUAAAUUCCAGAAAGGAGAAGACAAAGAAGAAGAAAAGUACAUUGAUGUGGUGAUUAAUAAAAACAUGAAACUGGGACAAAAAGUAUUAAUUCCAGUAAAGCAAUUUCCUAAGUUCAACUUUGUGGGGAAACUUUUGGGCCCGCGUGGCAAUUCUCUGAAGCGCUUGCAAGAAGAGACAUUGACAAAAAUGUCAAUAUUGGGGAAAGGAUCCAUGAGGGACAAAGCAAAGGAAGAAGAGUUGAGGAAAAGUGGAGAAGCAAAGUACUUCCACCUAAAUGAUGAUCUGCAUGUUUUAAUUGAAGUGUUUGCCCCACCAGCAGAAGCAUACGCCAGAAUGGGACAUGCACUGGAAGAAAUUAAGAAAUUUCUCAUUCCUGACUACAAUGAUGAAAUCCGACAAGCACAGUUGCAGGAAUUAACUUACUUGAACGGGGGCUCAGAGAAUGCAGAGGUUCCAGUAGUCCGUGGAAAGCCUCCUUUACGGGCACGGGGAGGCCUCUCUCCUGCUUUGGCAAGAGCCCGUGGGGGUGUGCUGCCCCCACCCUCAAGCAUACCCAGAGGAGCACCAGCACCCAGGGGAGUUCCCUCCGGCAGAGGUCCCGUAAGCCGUGGCCGUAGCCUACUAACGUCCAGGGCCAGAGGAGUUCCUCCAUCUGCAGGAUACCGGCCUCUUCCACUACCCCCAGCACAGGAUACAUAUGGGGAAUAUGAAUAUGAUGAUGGAUAUGGCACUUCAUACGAUGAGCAGAGCUAUGAUUCCUACGAUAACAGCUAUAGCACUUCGGCACAGAGCGGUGGCGAUUACUAUGACUAUGCCCAUGGCUUGAACGACGAGACAUACGAUUCUUACAGACAGGAAGAGUGGACCCACUCGAGACACAAGGCUCCUUCAGCAAGGUCAACAAAAGGAACCUAUAGAGAGCAGCCAUAUGCAAGAUACUGAUUACACUGUCCGAUGUUGUGAAAUGCCCAAUCUCCACCAGUCCUGUAAACUGUUCAAAAGUUUUGAUACCUUAAUGACAACCUCACUCCGUGCUGGAAGCAAUAAACCCAAAGCUUUUAAAGACUUUCUGACUUGACUAAUUGCGGUCGCUUUCGUCAAAGGCAGAGGAUGUGUAACCCUUAAAACGGUCUUCAUUUGCAAAGGAGUCACAUGGAAUGUAUGGAGGCCAAAGAGACCUGUUUCUCUUGAUACUUUGGGAUUUUGGUCACUGAUAUGGACAACUUCAAAAUACUUCCCUCACCAUCGUGCCUCCAAAAUUACAGCCAGCCUGUAUAUGAAACUCCAGUAUGAUUUAUUUUAUUUUAUUUUUUUUAUG